CGAUCAGUAGCCGACCUGAGAGGGUGAUGGCCACAUUGGAACUGAGACACGGUCCAAACUCCUACGGGAGGCAGCAGUGGGGAAUAUUGCACAAUGGGCGAAAGCCUGAUGCAGCAACGCCGCGUGGGUGAUGAAGGCCUUCGGGUCGUAAAACUCUGUCCUCAAGGAAGAUAAUGACGGUACUUGAGGAGGAAGCCCCGGCUAACUACGUGCCAGCAGCCGCGGUAAUACGUAGGGGGCUAGCGUUAUCCGGAUUUACUGGGCGUAAAGGGUGCGUAGGCGGUCUUUCAAGUCAGGAGUGAAAGGCUACGGCUCAACCGUAGUAAGCGCUUGAAACUGGGAGGCUUGAGUGCAGGAGAGGAGAGUGGAAUUC
rnacentral:rRNA from 1 species